GACGAACGCUGGCGGCGUGCUUAACACAUGCGAGUCGAACGGAAAGGCCCUGCUUGCAGGGUACUCGAGUGGCGAACGGGUGAGUAACACGUGGGUGAUCUGCCCUGCACUUCGGGAUAAGCCUGGGAAACUGGGUCUAAUACCGGAUAGGAGCCAUUUUUAGUGUGAUGGUUGGAAAGUUUUUUCGGUGUAGGAUGAGCUCGCGGCCUAUCAGCUUGUUGGUGGGGUAAUGGCCUACCAAGGCGGCGACGGGUAGCCGGCCUGAGAGGGUGGACGGCCACAUUGGGACUGAGAUACGGCCCAGACUCCUACGGGAGGCAGCAGUGGGGAAUAUUGCACAAUGGGCGCAAGCCUGAUGCAGCGACGCCGCGUGGGGGAUGACGGCCUUCGGGUUGUAAACUCCGUUCGCUAGGGACGAAGCUUUUUGUGACGGUACCUAGAGAAGAAGCACCGGCUAACUACGUG
rnacentral:rRNA from 1 species